UCUCCUGUAGCUCAGUGGUAGAGCAUCCGGCUGAAGUGCGGAAGGUCAUAGGGUCCACACUUGUUGGGAGAA